rnacentral:rRNA from 1 species
GACGAACGCUGGCGGCGUGCUUAACACAUGCAAGUCGUACGGUAAGGCCCUUUCGGGGGUACACGAGUGGCGAACGGGUGAGUAACACGUGAGUAACCUGCCCACAACUUUGGGAUAACGCUAGGAAACUGGUGCUAAUACUGGAUAUGUGCUCCUGCUGCAUGGUGGGGGUUGGAAAGCUCCGGCGGUUGUGGAUGGACUCGCGGCCUAUCAGCUUGUUGGUGGGGUAGUGGCCUACCAAGGCGGCGACGGGUAGCCGGCCUGAGAGGGUGACCGGCCACAUUGGGACUGAGAUACGGCCCAGACUCCUACGGGAGGCAGCAGUGGGGAAUAUUGCACAAUGGGCGCAAGCCUGAUGCAGCAACGCCGCGGGCGGGAUGACGGCCUUCGGGUUGGAAACCGCGUUCAGCAGGGACGAAGCUUUUUGUGACGGUACCUGCAGAAGAAGCACCGGCUAACUACGUG